rnacentral:rRNA from 1 species
GAUGAACGCUGGCGGCGUGCCUAAUACAUGCAAGUCGAGCGAACGGACGAGAAGCUUGCUUCUCUGAUGUUAGCGGCGGACGGGUGAGUAACACGUGGAUAACCUACCUAUAAGACUGGGAUAACUUCGGGAAACCGGAGCUAAUACCGGAUAAUAUUUUGAACCGCAUGGUUCAAAAGUGAAAGACGGUCUUGCUGUCACUUAUAGAUGGAUCCGCGCUGCAUUAGCUAGUUGGUAAGGUAACGGCUUACCAAGGCAACGAUGCAUAGCCGACCUGAGAGGGUGAUCGGCCACACUGGAACUGAGACACGGUCCAGACUCCUACGGGAGGCAGCAGUGGGGAAUCUUCCGCAAUGGGCGAAAGCCUGACGGAGCAACGCCGCGUGAGUGAUGAAGGUCUUCGGAUCGUAAAACUCUGUUAUUAGGGAAGAACAUAUGUGUAAGUAACUGUGCACAUCUUGACGGUACCUAAUCAGAAAGCCACGGCUAACUACGUGCCAGCAGCCGCGGUAAUACGUAGGUGGCAAGCGUUAUCCGGAAUUAUUGGGCGUAAAGCGCGCGUAGGCGGUUUUUUAAGUCUGAUGUGAAAGCCCACGGCUCAACCGUGGAGGGUCAUUGGAAACUGGAAAACUUGAGUGCAGAAGAGGAAAGUGGAAUUCCAUGUGUAGCGGUGAAAUGCGCAGAGAUAUGGAGGAACACCAGUGGCGAAGGCGACUUUCUGGUCUGUAACUGACGCUGAUGUGCGAAAGCGUGGGGAUCAAACAGGAUUAGAUACCCUGGUAGUCCACGCCGUAAACGAUGAGUGCUAAGUGUUAGGGGGUUUCCGCCCCUUAGUGCUGCAGCUAACGCAUUAAGCACUCCGCCUGGGGAGUACGACCGCAAGGUUGAAACUCAAAGGAAUUGACGGGGACCCGCACAAGCGGUGGAGCAUGUGGUUUAAUUCGAAGCAACGCGAAGAACCUUACCAAAUCUUGACAUCCUUUGACAACCCUAGAGAUAGAGCUUUCCCCUUCGGGGGACAAAGUGACAGGUGGUGCAUGGUUGUCGUCAGCUCGUGUCGUGAGAUGUUGGGUUAAGUCCCGCAACGAGCGCAACCCUUAAGCUUAGUUGCCAUCAUUAAGUUGGGCACUCUAAGUUGACUGCCGGUGACAAACCGGAGGAAGGUGGGGAUGACGUCAAAUCAUCAUGCCCCUUAUGAUUUGGGCUACACACGUGCUACAAUGGACAAUACAAAGGGCAGCGAAACCGUGAGGUCAAGCAAAUCCCAUAAAGUUGUUCUCAGUUCGGAUUGUAGUCUGCAACUCGACUACAUGAAGCUGGAAUCGCUAGUAAUCGUAGAUCAGCAUGCUACGGUGAAUACGUUCCCGGGUCU